AACGCACCUUGCGCUCCUUGGUAUUCCGAGGAGCAUGCCUGUUUGAGUGUCAUUAAAUUCUCAACCCAUUCAGCUUUGUUAAGUUGGUAUGUGGCUUGGAUGUGGGGGUUUUGUGCAGGUCUCGAUAGAGGUCAGCUCCCCUGAAAUGCAUUAGCGGAACGGUUUGCGAUCUGUCACUGGUGUGAUAAUUAUCUACGCCGAAGAUGAUGAACGCUCUAUCUGUUCAGCUUACAACGGUCCUCUAUGGACAACUUUUGAAUGUUUGACCUCAAAUCAGGUAGGACUACCCGCUGAACUUAA
rnacentral:misc_RNA from 1 species